rnacentral:rRNA from 1 species
AGCGCAGGCGGUGCGGCAAGUCUGAUGUGAAAGCCCGGGGCUCAACCCCGGUACUGCAUUGGAAACUGUCGUACUAGAGUGUCGGAGGGGUAAGUGGAAUUCCUAGUGUAGCGGUGAAAUGCGUAGAUAUUAGGAGGAACACCAGUGGCGAAGGCGGCUUACUGGACGAUAACUGACGCUGAGGCACGAAAGCGUGGGGAGCAAACA